GCCCGUCUAGCUCACCGGUAGAGCGCCUCACUAGUACUACUUCUAAGUAACUAAACUCUUUACGAGUUCUAGCUUCGCGGCGGUAAUGCGUGGCCAUGAGGAGGCAACAGGUUCGACUCCUGUGAUGGGCA
rnacentral:tRNA from 1 species